AUGGAUGAGUAUAACUCCAAAGAUGGCAGUGGGAGUCUAAACAAGCAAGUCAGUUUAUCCAGAAACAAAAGCAGUCAGACAAGCAGCUCCUCUGUACCAGCUAGGAAUCUAACCAACCGUCUGUUACCUCGUUCCAGUAACCAAAGUGGCUUUCAGCAAAGGUCACCUGCAUGUGUGAAGGAGGAGUUAGAGUUCAAAUUAUCAAGAAUCACAUUAAAUAUUAACUUAACAAGGUACAGCCAUAGCAAAUGAAAAUAUUUUUCCUCCCCAACCACCAUUUGCCAUCUUCCAGUCCAGCGAGGACUAUAAAUUCUGUUUUCACGAAUGCACAGGCAAAGGUAAAAAAGAACAGAAAUAUACGUUGUAUCCAUGGCUCUCAUAAAAAUUCAUCUGCAGCAUUUAUCACUGCCUACAAUAGAUUUAGCUGUCAUAAUGCAUGACAAAAAAAAAAAUAGUGGUAAAAAGGCAAGGUAAGGUGUAAAUAACAAAAAACAAGGUUAGAAUUAGGCAUUUAAUAAGGAAAGACAACAAAGACAAUAUAGAAGGUUAAAAUGAAGGGACAAAGUGCAGCAUAAAAUGAAAAUUUUAUCAGGGAAUAGAUAAUACAACUGCUUUCAAAGAAUCCCUUUGUAUACACUGAUUCAGUUGGCAUCCCAACUUGUGAUAGAUGCUGUUAAAUAGAAACACUAGUUGGAGUGGGGCAAGGUGGGAUCUUUAUAGCAUAAAGCAAAGGACCCGGAUGUUGCAAGCAUAGUAACUCAGGUUUUUUUGUGCCCCCAAAUGCCUCAUGCUCUACAAAAUAAUACCCUUCAGAAUCACUUCAUUCUUAUGGGUGGUAUGUGGAUUGUCUUUACACGUAUUUAAUUGCUUAAAUGCUAGUGGUUUAAAAAUACAAGUAUUAAGACAAAUGUCUUGAAUGAAAAACCCUGCUAAAAAGAUGAAAUUGUCUACACCUGCAAGCUAAAGCCACCAUAUCGAGCUUUUGAAAAGCUAUGAACACAUCUGAAAAAAGUUUGAGCGCAUUAAAAUUUUGUUUCAUCUCUUAUUCAUACCUUUCAGGCAUAUUCUUGUGAGCAUCAGCACUCUUAUAAGAAGACCUGACGUCCUGUUCUUUAAAGGCAUAUAGCCACUUAAAUUGCAUUGAAUUCAAAGGGAGUGAAAUGUCUCAGUGCUUUCUGGAACUCUGGGGCUGAGGUUUCAUUAUCUUGACUGGGAAUUCAGUAAUAUCAGCAGGAGUAUGCUCAGCACCUGG
rnacentral:lncRNA from 1 species